GAAAAGGAGAAAAGCCGGUUCCCAGGUAACAGCUAAGUCAGUCAGUAGCUGAAAGACCCCCAAGGCAGCUGUAGAUCUCUGUUCUUCGCCUGAGUCUCUCAAGCCGGCCAACGGGAAGCUCUGCAAUACCAGAGGGGGCCGCUAGGGAGUGCUCGCCAACAGCCAGGCUCCAGAAAGGAAGGAGCCGGCCAAGCCAAGAAGACCGGAAGGCAAUCGAUCAGAGUCGCCCUGGCAACCGGGCUGAGCCCGAGACAGACAGCACGUCGAUAAUGAAAUCAUCGUUAAAUGACUUCAAGCCCUAAUUAAUAAUCCAGGCCAACCGAGGCCAUGCCUGACUGGGGUCGGGGGAGGGGAUGUCAUUGUUGGGGGAGCACUGGAAGCUUCUGGACAAUUAAUCAAUUAAUCCACUCACUCAAUAAUUGGCUCCUUUGUCCUCUGUCAUGCCCCCUCCCCCACCUCAUCCACCUCUGACUGUGGAGAGGGGAAGAAGAGAUGUGGGGCUCAGUUUCCAAGGGCCACAGUUCUUUGCUCUCCCCUCCUUUUUUUCCACACAUCUGUUUCCUGAGCCAGCUCACAAAAGCUUCCCUAAGGCAGGACUUGCCUGCGCUCUUCCACAGGACCUACCAAAGAGUGAACAUUUCAGGACCCGGAGUCCCCUGCUAUCCAGCUAAUCAGGUUAUCCAAAAAAAGUGGUGCUGGGGAAAGCAUAAGGGUUUUGCUGAGAAGGAAGAACCAGAAGAUCUUGGGCAAGAUAAAGACAGCCAGUGAGACAUGGACUGGAUAGGUGAUGUGUCCCACAUCAUGGGGCAAAACAGUCUCUCUAAACAUUAGGAAAACAAUUCGCAUCCCACCCUUCACUCCAGGAGGAAGAUGAUUGUUUCCCUCCCCAGAUCUUGGCAAAUGCCCUGCUCAAGGAUCGCAUGGCAUGUGGGUAAGAGCCCUGCAUGCAGCUUGGUGGCUUCUCCCCAAGCCCUCCCUCUCCUGUUUUAUCUUAACCUCUCUGCACC
rnacentral:lncRNA from 1 species